AUGCACGAAAGUGUGAUAGGGGGAUACUCAGUGCUUACGUUUAUGACGUAGGCUUUUGUCGAUCGUAAAUAGAUCGGCGAAUAAGUGGUGGGCAAGACCGGUGCCAGCCGCCGCGGUAACCCCGGCGCCACAAGUGGUUAUCACGAUUAUUGGGCCUAAAGCGUUCGUAGCCGGUUUGGUAAAUCUCUUGUGAAAUUGUUCUGCUUAACAGGACAGCGUGCAGGAGACACUGCCAGACUCGAGACCGGGAGGCGCAAGAAGUAUGCCGUGGGGACUGGUAAAAUGGGAUAAUCCACGGUAGACUACCGAUGGCGAAGGCAUCUUGCGAGAACGGAUCUGACGGUGAGGAACGAAAGCCAGGGGAGCGAACCGGAUUAGAUACCCCCGUAGUCC
rnacentral:rRNA from 1 species